AGUAAUAUUCAUUGCUACUCCUGCAAUUAUUUCUAACUUUCCACCAGAUUGUCCUGUACCUUUCAGGUGACCUUACUUUGGGUGAGGAAACACAUUAAAAUAUCAUAUGUUGAAUCAGGCUGUCUGUUUUGGCACCGUCUUCUAUGGUUCAGUGUUAACCCCCUGUUUCAGCUGCACCUGGUGCAUUGGAAUGCAGUCAAAUUUGAAAGCUUUGAGGAUGCAGCACUGGAAGAAAAUGGCUUGGCAGUGAUAGGGGUGUUUUUAAAGCUAGGCAAACAUCAUCAAGGCCUACAGAAAUUGGUGGAUACUUUGCCAUCAAUUAAGCAUAAGGACACCGUUGUGGAGUUUGGGUCGUUCGACCCUUCCUGUCUGAUGCCCACCUGCCCCGAUUACUGGACCUACUCGGGUCCCUGACGACCCCGCCGCUCCUCUGAGUCCGUCACCUGGAUCAUUAAGAAGCAGCCGGUGGAGGUUGACCAUGACCAGCUUGAGCAGUUUCGGACCCUGCUUUUCACUUCUGAGGGGGAGAAAGAGAAAAAAAUGGUUGACAACUUCCGCCCUCUGCAGCCCCUCAUGAACCGCACUGUCCGUUCGUCCUUCCGUCACGAUUACGUGCUGAAUAUACAAGUGAAACCCAAGCCCUCGGCCAGCCAAGUGACCCCCUAAGUUAACGCACAUCAAGGCAGUAUUUUGCUUUUGUACAUACUAGCUUUUCAAAAAAUUAACUAGACUAUUCUAAGUGCCUGCAUUUAAUAAUAAUUUAUAGAUAAGCAUUUCUGGGUACGGCAGUGCUCCCUCAUCGAGGAAUGCUGGUGAAUAAACAAAUUCUUGUUUUUAUUGAUGAUGUAUAUCACCCGAAGAGGCCAACAAGACACACAGGUUUUUGUUACAGCAAUUUGUUGGUAAUUGUAAUGUCUUAAUGUCUGAUGUUUUGAGCUGUGCUUUUGUGUUUGUCAAUUAGUGGUUCUAUAGAGUUAUAAGUAGAGAUGAUGAUGAUUAAAGUAUUUAACAAUUGGGACGGCACCUCAGAAGGCAAGCCUUUCGGAGACAGCCUUAAGGCCCAGACUGGUACAUCCUGGCUGAAGCCUGGCCAUGAUUUUAGGUAUAUUUUACUCACCUUAAAGGACUGGUCACAUAGAAAGCCUAUGCAGAACAUUUUCAAGAAAAUGCUUACAGUGCCUAGGAUUUAAAAUUGUUUCAGGAUGUGUUCACAGAAAUAUUUUUCAAAAGACUAGUAAUAUAUUAGUCUAUAAUUUCUAGUAUUAAUAUGCAUUAUCUGUAUUCCGUUUCAUAGAAUAUGAUAAUAUUUUCUACCAUGACAGUACUGUCUUGGAUUCCCUUCAAAACUUUCUGAACUUUAUUAGUCAAGGUUCUGUGCAUGGCAGGUGAUCAAUGUGUCCCCAAAUUGAUACAGUGGGUUAGAAGACUUUUGCUACAGUAAUAGGGAAUAAUACUUGUCAGAUUAGGAAAAAAUCUAGAUAAUUCUAUGUAUUUUGAGGAAUCCAUGCCACUGUUGCCUUGUCUGUAAGUAUCCUGGAAUGUUUCUACUUGCCUAUAAGCCUGUGUUCAGACUCAUUACAUAAACUAGCAUUAUUUUUUCAUUAAUAUCUAGUCAUCUGGUAGCCUGCAAGGCAAUGUUGACAGGAUAUACUUAACACUACUCAACUUUGCACUGGAAAACGUUAAGAUGGUAAGUUUUUAUGUUCAGGUUCCCUCCACUAUCUGAAAGUAAAGUGUUCCUGUUUGGCAGAAUUUGGUAGGUUAUUUUUGGGAUCUAGGAAUACUCAAUUUUUUGUCCAUAUAAAUUAAUAGUAAUAGCAUUCCCAGAUUCUACCCCCACCCCAAUAACCUACCAAAUCCUACCAAACAGGAAUGUUCUACUUUCAGAUAGCAGAGGAAACCUGUAGUGUUUAUUACCACAAUUAAAUGAUAAACCUAGUAGGAAAUAAAAACAGAAUUGGAGUGUGCAAUUUCGGGGGGAUAGCUCUUCUCUAAAGAGUAGGGGAGGGUGAAGGCAUUUGCUUUGAGAGUACAUGCCUUCUCUGGAAAAGGGAUGCCCUGGGAAAUGAAUAAAAUUCUUAAAAAGAUAAAUGUGGGGAAGUUUAUGUUAACUUCAUAUAACUGAUCUGUCUCAAACCACAGUUAGCUUUAAAGAGGGUAAGCACACAAGAGAUGCAUUUUCCUGGGCACACAGGCUUCCCUCUAGGUCUCUUGCAAACUCUUAGUGCAAAAUUCUGUUGCAGUGAGACUUCAAAAUUGGAGAGCUUAGUGUAGACACCCUCCUUGCCAGAACAUCUUUGAGAUACACGGGCUGUAUUUACAGGGUGUGCUCCGGUUUGCUUCCCCUGAUUUACUUAGACCAGGUAUUCUGAUUUAAUUAUUAACAGCACCCCUUUCAUUCUGAACCAUGUUCUAGCUUGCAUGGUAAUUCUUGGUCACCUUCUCUGCAGAGGUUAUGGAAACCGCCUUGGGGAUUUCCUCAAUGACUUAGUCAUAUGACAAGGGGUGCCCUGGCUACUGAUACACCCUAGCACUUUUUACAAAAGUGGUUUUCCUUGUACUUUCUGAGACAUGAAGGGGAAUAUGAACUUGAGAUCUGUCAAAGGGCUUGAGAAAGAAUUUCCUAUUGAAAUUGCUGCUCAUCUUCAUUCAAUAUUAGAUUAAUA